CCAAACUUUGGGUGCUUGGGUAGUGAGUCGUCGAGACAGGACGAUGCGGCGGCGGCAAGCGAUGCAGCUGAUACGUGGGUUCGUAAAAUCUUUCCUUUUCUCGUGGUUGACUUCUUGGAUUAGGUUCGUGGAUUAAUAGUUUGGAACGGAUUUCGUUCGUCAUCCAUCAGAUCUACUUUCCUGGAGGAGGUCGGCGAGAGUAUGGUGCUGGCUCCUGCGGCAGAGCAUGGUGCGGUGGGGCGGGCAGGGGCGAUUGGGGAUGUAAAGGUGCCAGAGCAGCAAUUGGUAGGAGCGGGUGAAGUGGAGCAGAGAGCGGCUGUGGGGGAUUCCUGGCGGCCGAACAAGCGUGAUGGCGGAUUUCAUGGCGACGGAGCAGGUUGUUGAGGAGCUGGCGCCGGCAGCUCAGUGGCGGCAGAAAGAGGGAGAGCUCUCCCGCGGCUUCGGAGCUGUCAACUGGGAAGAUGAAUCCCCGGGCUCCUGGAUGAACAAAAGGGGAAAGCUGAUGUCGAGAACACAAGGUCUUGCCGCUGCAAAUGUCCUGCUCUCAUAAUGCUUCUACGAGCAGAAGACAAUGGUUGGUACAUUGCGGAGCAUAGAGAGACUCACAACCACUCGCUUUCACCUAACUUUGGUGAGACAAUCCACUGGCCAUCACACAAGCACAUAGAUGUUUACACCAGGAUCUUGUGAAGCAGUUUGGGCAGAACAAUGUGAACCUCGCUAAGGUGUACAGUAUCAUAGGAAGUUUAUUUGGAUCGAUGGAAAAUGUUCCAUUCACAAAGAGGUCUUUGUGUAAUCUAUGUGGGAAGAUAAAAAGGGACCAUGCAGAUGAUGAUGUGAAGAAACGAUGGAUGUGUUUGCGUAGAUUAGAGCUGAAGAUCCACACUUCACAUACAGGGUUCAGGCUGACAGUUAAGGGAGGAUCAAGAAAUCUGAGAAAGUGGGAGCAACAGGCUGCAGUACCCCUUCGUUGGGGCUGUCAUAACAUUCGACACGACAUGCAGGACCAACCUAUAUGACAUGCCUUUCGGCCUUUUUUGUUGGGGUUAACAAUCACUUUCAGAGCAUGAUUGGCUGGUGUUCUUGUUCGCGAUGAGAGCCAAGAGAGUUUCGACUGUUUUUUUUUUCAGAAUUCCUAAGAAUGAUAGGUGGUUCUCCACCCAUGACCAUACUUAAAGGUAUUAUUUAUGUUUGGAAACUGAUCAAUUGUCCUACAGUUGUUAGCUGAUGUAUAUCUUGUCAUCGUACAGAGUGGUGAUUGUAUACAUUUUGUUCACUUGUUUUGUAGAUCAAAACAGUGCCGUGGAGCUGGCUAUCAAAAACAUUAUGCCGGGGACAACACAUAGAUGGUGCAAAUGGCACGUCCUGAAUAAAGCAAAAGAGUCAUUGGGUGCUCUGUACACAAAGAAGAGCGAUUUCAGGGCUGAAUUUUAUAAAGUGAUAAACCAUAUGCUGAAAGAAGAUGAAUUUGAGAAAGGGUGGGAAAUGUUGCUGGACAAAUACAAGCUAAGGGCACACCCAUACAUGACGAAGCUGUUUGAGAUUCAGAAGAAAUGGGCUAAACCUUAUUUUAAGGGUAUUUUUGUGCAAAGAUGACCAGCACACAGAGGAGUGAGAGCGCGAACCAUAUGCUAAAAAAUUAUGUGCCUCCUGGGUGCCCAAUGCACAUGUUUGUGCAGAAGUACACAAGGCUACAAUUCGACCGGGAAUCGGAGGAGAACUAUGAAGAAAAAUAAUGUGAAUUGGAGGCCACUCAUGAGGGCAAACCUGGCAGUGGAGAGGCAUGCUAGCAAGAUAUAUACAAGGGCCAUGUUCCAAUAGUUUGGGUAUAUAUUGUACAAUGUGGAGCUUAUCAGGUGGAAGAGGUCGAGAAACACAAGACAUAUCUUGCAAUCCAUAGUGAAGCAGAAAAGAGAGAGA